UUUUCUCGUCCACUGAAAAGUGGGACUGUCAUUGGGGAUUCUCACCAGGAAAGCGCAGACAGAGGCAGACCUUCUCCAGAGUGCCAGUGCUGCCCAGCAGUCCGUGCAGAAUACAGGUGCCUGUUGCUGUCUGGUGUCAGAUGAGAUUCUCCAGAGCUGAGCAGUCACAAUCUCCUUUGUUAUUUUCCUUCCCAGGAUCCAAGGUGGUGAAGUGGGAACAGGUUCUCCUGGGUAUUGACUUGCUUUAUGACUGAAAAGAGAGAGUGAGCGGUUUUUUUUUUUUUUUCAAUGCAAGAUCAAAGAUAGACAUGUCAUGGGACGAACUGCAGUUUCUACGUUGAAUUUGGAUCUGAGACUUGCUGUAUUUUCCAAUGAAGAACAAACCAAAAGAAAACACAGAGCAGAACAACUGUGUGCUUGACUCCAUCAAGUCACUGUGAAUCAAAAGGGAAAGACAAGCAAAUGAGAAAAGAAAGAAAACAUUCUGAGCAAGUUAGUUUCUUCUCUCAGUCCCACAGCAUCACCUAAACUCCCAGACCUCCCUGCAGACCAGGGUGGGUCUUCCUCCUGUUGAAUAGUAACCGCUGCUGAGCACACAGCACUUAAUGAAGCUGAGGUCAGGCUGCAUCGAGUUGGCAUUUGCAGUGAUAACAAAUCAGAAAUGAUAGCAUCACAGAGAUUUAUGAAUUUUUUACCCCUGUAGUCACAAACAUCAGACGUUUACUUUAUAAAGAGAGCUUUUAGAUCCUUCCUGCAGUUUCCAUAGUGAUUUCAUUUUUUCCCUUUUAUCACAGAUUGGCUGAAGUGCUGCUACCCUUUGUGCGUUAAAAGGCUUGUGCUACCAACUGUCGAUAUAAAAGGUAGCUGAGGCAGAGAGACGCAAUAUAUACUGCCAAAAAUAAUUGAAACAGAGACACGUUGGUGAAAGGUUCCAGAAAGAAAAAAAAAAAAAAUCCUGAAUCAAUGUGAUAGUACAGGAGAAAAAUAAUUUUGCCUGAAUUCUCAUAAUUACUUUGAGUUAAAUGUAGUUAUAUUUUACGUGGUGUACCAUACUUAUAUUAAAACACUCAUCAUACAAAACAUAAUCCUUUCAUAAAAGGCUUUAAUAUAGCUUACACUGUUCGAAGUGUCUGGGCUUGUUAAACAUAAAAGUUCAUUAUGAAAACAUUUUCACUUCAGUUACUUUAGUUUCAGCUCCAAUGUUUAUUCCAGUACUUAUUCUUCUCUUUAAUAUCUCAUUUUACUCAACUUUAUUUUUUUUCUAAUAAAAAAAAACCCCUUAUCUGGAUUUUCAAGUUAAUUCAGACUACCCACAGGAAAACAGCAAAAACCUGUAGAAGAAAUUCACACAUUCUCUCUAACACUUAAUAAAGUGAGGACUGUAUUCUUAAUAUAGUUCUACCUUGCUUUAUAUAGUUCUUUUCUCUAUUAAAAUGGAGUCUUUAAAUGAA